rnacentral:lncRNA from 1 species
CUGGAGAAUUAAAUGUCUUAUAUUGGCUAAGACAAGGUACCUCCAAGGGACCAGACGAUGAGAGAACAGCGUGGACCUUCCCAAGCCUCCAGCCUGCAAAUGGGCUGAGUACCUAUGUGAUCAAUGUCCUCAUAUUCAGUGGGGCCACCAGCCUGCUGGGCAGCCUGUGAUAAGUUCUUUACUCUCGGUGAAGUGAAUCUCAGUUUCCACAGAAGGGAUGAUUACAGCACACACUUGAAUGGAUGGAGUACACAUCUGAAGAACUGUGACUGGUGAUGGACUUCGAUCUAGCUCUUUCCGCCUGUCCGACGGGCAGCCCCUGGCAGGUAUGGGGCAUGGUGGAGAUGGACUCUGAUUGGAUAUUUAAGAAGAUGCAUUUGUUGCCAUAUGGGAGGCCAGGCAUGGAUGGAAUAGACAAGGGGCUACCACACUAGUCCUCCUGGCAUUGAGUGAUCAGGGAAGAAGCGAGUGCCUUUCAGAUGAGACACUGGACUAGGCAAUGUGUCCGUCAGAGUCCCUUAGAGAGACAGAACCGAUGGAGGCUGAGUACAGAGACUGACUCCUGGCGACUAUAGAGGCUGUGUCCUGUGAUUGACAUGGAUAAGGUCGAGACCCAGGUGAGCCA